GCUCUUCUGGUGGAAAUGGUAUACACGUUGGUUUUAGGAGCCAAUGCUUUUUAGCUUGAGGGUUCAAAUCCCUCGAAGAGCA
rnacentral:tRNA from 2 species